rnacentral:rRNA from 1 species
GACGAACGCUGGCGGCGUGCUUAACACAUGCAAGUCGAACGGAAAGGCCCUGCUUUUGUGGGGUGCUCGAGUGGCGAACGGGUGAGUAACACGUGAGUAACCUGCCCUUGACUUUGGGAUAACUUCAGGAAACUGGGGCUAAUACCGGAUAGGAGCUCCUGCUGCAUGGUGGGGGUUGGAAAGUUUCGGCGGUUGGGGAUGGACUCGCGGCUUAUCGGCUUGUUGGUGGGGUAGUGGCUUACCAAGGCUUUGACGGGUAGCCGGCCUGAGAGGGUGACCGGCCACAUUGGGCCUGAGCUACGGCCCAGACUCCUACGGGACGCAGAGGUGGGGAAUAUUGCACAAUGGGCGGAAGCCUGAUGCAGCAAAGCCGCGUGCGGGAUGACGGGCUUCGGGUUGUAAACCAAUUUCGCCUGUGACGAAGCGUGAGUGACGGUAAUGGGUAAAGAAGCACCGGCUAACUACGUG